CGCGUCCUCGGCCUGGGGCUGAAGUCUAUGUUCCUGGCGUGGGGCAAGCUCGCAGGACGCCAGAUGACCCGUCCAAAUCCUGCCGGGCAGCAGUUAACUCCUCGCUGUAGGUGGAGCACAGCGCCCUGGCCCGGGAUACGGCGGUUCCGGGUCGGCCGCGCUCCGCCCACGCAGAUGAUGAAGAGGAAGAUGAGAGACACCAAGAAACUUGAUUAAGGAUCCAGAAGUGGUGUCAAUGGUGAAACCAGAAUGUAACACUGGGUCUAUCUGGCUCCAACACCCGUGUGCAGUCUCCUUGCCCGCGGUCACUAGGAUUUGAUCUAUGGUGGACAAGCCCGGUGGAUUUUAAGUCUACCUUAGUUCCCGGGCACCUUUGCCUAUCUUCUCUAAGAAGAGAAGUUUCCAUGCUUUCCUUGUAUAAUUCAUCCACCUGAGCUCUUGAUUGCAUUUCUUACCACUUCCUCUAGAAUCUUUCUGCAUUAAUUAUGUUCUGAUUUUCUUAUAUUUUGUCAUUCUCUCUUCACAGAUUCCUUCUUCUUAGACUACAUGCAUGCUUAAAUUUCUCUUCCUGCAAAACAAACACCCACCCCCUUCCCUUUCAGCUCCUCUUCCCUCAAGGCCUAAUUUUUCCCUUUGAGUCAUUCCCUGUGUAACUCCCCGUGUAAUUUGGCUUUCCCCACUGCCCUACCCCAACCACCCUUUUAAAUUAUUUGGGCAAGAACCUAAGUCUUAUUCGUCUCUGGUAAGCGCCUAGCACAGAAUAAUAACUACAAUGAUAAACUUAGCUUAUUAAGCUCCUAUUAGAUGCCAGGUGUGAUAUAAAACACAGACAUUAUCAUUUUAUUGGUCUUUGAUAAAUGUGUCGAAUGGGCCGUGGGCUGGCAGUCACCCUUCCCGUGGUUUUAGCUGUGAGCCUCUCUCCUGAUGCUCAGUGUCUGGCAGUCACUCUGGUGUGAUUUUGCCAACUGAAAUGAAACCUUCUUCUGCCUCCAGUAGGUCAUGUAAUAGGUGGAACAAAAAUAUUUCCCGGAAUGUGUUUUUGCCCCUCUUUACAGCUUUUACUAUGAGGACUAUAUGUUCCAGCACGUGUUGUGUGACUGCAAAUACCCUUCUGCCUAAGUGUUUUCUGAGUAUUGCAAGCCCUGGAUGGAUAUAGGCAGAAAGGAUCUGAUUCAUCUAAUACUUUCAUGCAAGAAAUAUUUACUGGAGAGAGUUAAAGUAUUAUAAUAGGCUCUCAGGGACACAAAGGAGAAGAAGACAGGCACAUUGCAAGGGGGGGAUUUUAAACAAAAGCAAAUUGAUGGGAGUGGCAGUAGGGAAGGUGGGAAAAGCACAAUGGCUGCCUCAAAAAGCAGUACACACAAACGGCCAGUAGACCUUGAAUUUCUGAAAUGGCGAGCAAGACUGGAGAAAAAUGAAAGACAUUCCCUCUAUUAAAGCAGGCUGGUUUGCUCAGCUUCUGCAGCAUGUAACAGGUUAUCCUCCAAUUGUGCUCUCAGUGCAUUUCCAGUAGACUCAGUUAGUAAACAUCUCUCCUGUGUUCUGAUAAUAGCCCUAGCUGUUGGGGAGGGUGUGGGUAAUCCUCCUCCUUUUUUUCAUUGGCAGGACAUGACAGAUCGAUGGAGGAAGGAUGGGAUCUUGGUUACCCAUAUGGAAUAAAAUAAAAUUAGAUCCCUAUUUCACAUCAAACAUAAACAUAUUUCAGAUGGAUUAAAGAUUUAAAUGUGAAAAGCAAAAUUUUAGAACAUCUAGAAUGACGUAUAGGAGGGUAUCUUAAUAACCUUGGAUAGAAAAAUGCUUUUUUAAACAAGACAUAAAGAACAAACCAUAAAGGAAAAUAUUAGUAAAUUGUGUCAGAAUUAAAACAUCUGUGCAUCAGAGGAUACCUUUCAAAAAGUGAAAAGACAAAACAUGUGUUGGGAGAAAAUACUCACAGCACCUGUUAUCAGCAAAGAACUGGUAUCCAGAAUAUAUCAGAGAACUCCUCCAAAUCAAUAAGAAAAGGGGCAAACAAGCCAAUCGCAAAACGAGCAAAGGAUUUGAACAGGCAGGUCACUGAAGAGAAACCUUGAAGGCCAAUGAAUAUUUGAAAAGAUGCUCAGUCUCAUUAGUAAUCAGGAAAAUGCCAAUGAAUACAAUGAGAUGCAAUUUCAGGCCCAUAAUAUUGGCAAAAAUUAAACAUCUGACACUACUGAGCAUAGUUAGGAAUGUGGAGCUAAAGCAACUCUGAUGCACAGCUGGGGGAAGCAUAAAACUGGGCAAUCCCUUUGGAAAGCCAUUUGGCUAUAUCUAAUGAGGUUAAAGAUGUUCGUGUCUUCCUACCCUCGGUGUAUGUCAAAGAAACUCCCACAGUAUGGUACAAAAUUGAAAACAAUCUAAAUUCCUAUAAUGGGAAAAUGCAUAAAUGUAUUGUGGUAUAUUUUCUCUCUCUUUUUUUUUUAUGAGGAAGAUCAGCGCUGUGCUAACAUCUGCCAAUCCUCCUCUUUUUUUGCUGAGGAAGACUGGCCUUGGGCUAACAUCCGUGCCCAUCUUCCUCCACUUUAUAUGGGACGCUGCCACAGCAUGGCUUGCCAAGCAGUGCGUCAGUGUGCGCCCGGGAUCCGAACCAGUGAACCCCAGGCAACCACAGCGGAGCGCGCGCACUUAACCACUUGCACCACCGGCUGGCCCAUAUUGUGGCAAUAUGCUGAAGUGCUGGCAAAGCUGAGGGCGGCUGGAAAAACCUGGGACCCUGUCACCAUAGCCGAAUCAAUGAACACAACGACCAGGGAUCGAGGAAAAGAAAAAUGGUUUAAUUUUGCCAGCAAAAUGAGGCUAGGGUGGGAGGCAGAAGCUUAGCUAGAUUGAAAGUCCACUUGUUGAUCAUCACAUAUUCCAUCAGCGGUGGAGCCAUUAACUGAAACUCAAUGACUAAAAAUCAUUCUGUCUGGCUGCAAAACUCCUGCCCCUCACCACUACAGGAGACUGCCUCCCACUCCCAUACUGUACUGUAGAGAAAGAAAAAGACAAAGGCAUGAACUCCUUCUCCAUUUGGAACUUUUAGAUGUCUCUUCUUCCCCCUAACUUAGAGGAAGAAGUAUUUCUCCUUGGUCCAUCGCUGACUAGGUGCCUCGAGAAACUCAAGGGUGAGUUUGGAAGCAAUUAACUGUUUUUCCAAGUUGUUUCUUUUCCUUUUGUAUGUUAAGAAGAUGUAACCACCAGCCAUCCUGAAACUGACCAAGCCUUACCACAAGAGCUACACCCAUGACCUUUGCCUUGUUUUUAAUGUAAAACUCUCUCCAGGAGGAGCUUAGGCCUCAUUAUGUGGAAGCAUGUUCUCCAACUGAGCCUGUGCAAGCGAAUACCCGCCUCUCCCUUUUGAAUAUUCAUUCCCCAACCAAAUAAAAGUUCCUACUUUCCGUUGUUCAGGGACGCCAUGACUUUGGAGAUGAUUCCUCAUGCCCUCCUAUUUGCUGCAAAUACAUUUUACUUUA